rnacentral:lncRNA from 1 species
UGAGAAUUAAUGAUUAUGAACUUGGAGAGAAAAAUGAGAUUCUGAAGUUUGGGAUGGAGGGAAAUGGCAGAAAAGGAUGAGAGAGAGAGAGCCUGGGAAGAUGACAGUUUUUUGAAGGCAGAAGUGUCAUCUCUUCUGAAAGAAAAGAUAGGAAUGAAUGAAGAGCUACCUUGCCAUGAAGAUUCAUUACCUUUUCUCUGCUCUUUUCUUCCUUGGCCUGCUGUCUACCUCAGGAAGUGAAGGUGCUUAUGAAGUCAUUAGUAUCAUGGACUGUAAAAAUCAAACAUUGUGUAAUUCUCAGAAUACAACUAGACACUGCUCUCAUGGGAAGGAGAUUGAACUAUGUGUCUUGCGUCUUGGAAAAAUUGCAAAGCGACUGACUAACCAUGAAGAAAUAGCAAAUUAG